UUAAAUCUAUAAUAAAAUAGGGAUCAGAUGGUUAAGAUUGGAGGUGCCUAAUUGUCGUAAAGCUUUAGGCAGACACCCCAUCUCGCAUGUUUAAUUGCGAGCAAUGACCACUCAUCACUUCCCAUUAAAACUUGCUUUGAAGGAUCAUGCCUUUUCCAUUCCCCUUAACCCCCUUUUAUAGCCACUCCCCGCGUUACUCUUUCUCUUCCAUCUUCGAUAUGGGACCAAUUACAUAUCAUAUGCUAAACCUUCUUCUGCAAAAUUAAGCCACCCACGUCGAUUCCCCACCGACCACUCCUCACGCCUCCGUCGUCUGGACGUAAGCUGUAUGUCUGAUUGCCUGUUUAAACUCCCCCUCAGUCCUGCAUCAGCCUUCCGUGACACUAGGAUUUCAGAAACGAUGUCGUUUGGCGCUGAUGAAAGCUUCUUACCUUUUUGCCUGAGUCAAUCUUUAGACUUCCUCUUCAUGCUGAAUCCAUGUUAUUAUGUAUUUAAGGUCGAUGAUUUUCCAAUUUCUGUUUUCAUAUCCGUAGCCCUAAAUCUAUUUUCCCGGUUGAUUUACUGGAGAGCAUCGAUCGGUCGUCAGUGAAAAUUAGCAAAACUGACUUAAAAGAUGAUUGUUUAGAGAAAUUCAAUUUAGGGAUUUUGGGAUAGGGAUCAUGGAAAGUUGAAAGCGGUAAGAUACCUAUGUGGUGGAAGUACCUUUGUGGCUGGGUUUUUUGUUAUCUCUGGGAACAAUAAAACGAUUCAUCAAUCUCUAAUCUUUCAUUUUUCAACAAGAAUCGAUGGCAUGGAAGCCCCAUCUCACGACAUUAUUUGUUUCUCAUGAUGGUUGCUUCUCUUUUCUUUUUACAUGGUGGCGUUAUUACUGAAGCAGUUCAAAAGGGAGGGAGAGGGGAUGCUUUUCCCCUCGAUUUCUGGGAUUUUUUCUUCUAAAAUAUUGGUAACCUUGUUAACGGGUAAUCAUUUGUUCGAUUAUGGUAAGCCUCCAACCAUCAAUUUGAACUAUUGAUUCAUUUUUGAACCGAUUCAUCCAAUUGAGUAGGCCUGGCAAUCGUGUCGUGUUCGGGUUGGCGUGUCGCGGGUUGGCGGGUUAGCGGGUCAAAAUAUGCCAACCCAAACACGACCCAUUUAAAUAUACAGGUCACGGGUUGGCGGGUCACGGGUUGGCGGGUUUGGAACAUAAACCCAUAUAUGACCCGCCAACCCAUUUAUUUAUACGAGUUCACAGGUUGGCAGGUUCAUGGGUCAGAUUUGGGUUCGUGAGUCUGAAUUUUAGACAUUUAAGUCUUAAACAUCCAAAUGAAAAUUAAAAACAUUUAUAGAAACAUGUUACAGACUUAGCCUUAUAGGUUACGACUUACGACCUUAGACCAUCCACCACAAGUCAAAAUGUCAAAACAGUCAAAUGGUCUAUGACUCGAUGAGAUAUAUUAUACAAUACUUAUUAAAUAUUAAUACUUGAUACAUAAAUACAUUUAAAAAUAAAAUAAAUUUUUUUUAUUAAGAAUAUAAACGGGUUGGCGGGUCAACCCGUUUAUUUUUUGAGAAACCCAUAUAUGACCCAUUUAAUAAACGGGUUGGUGGGUUGGCGGGUUAGCGGGUUGGCGGGUUGAAAAACUCAACCCAAACCCAUUUAUUUCGUGUCGUGUCGCGGGUCGUGUCGCGUGUCGUGUCGAGAAUUGCCAGCCCUACAAUUGAGUUCAUAACUUAAAAGAGUUUUUAGAAUUAAAUCAAAAUGAAAUACCCAAAAUUAAAAUCUAAAAUCAAGUAUAAGUAUUGUUGGAGUUUUCUGAUUUUGAAGAUUGGGAGUUUAUUGGUUAACGAGCUUUAACAAAGAAAACUUCCCAUCUACUUAAUCUGUGUUUUUUUUUUUUUUUUUUUUUUUCCUUUUGAUUAUGGUUAGAUGAGUUCAGUGGAAAAGAGACAAAACGGAUGGUUGAGAAGAGCAAACAUGGAGAGAAUGAAGAGAGAACAGUUAAUAAGGUGUUACAAAACUAUUCAAAGUCCAUUAAGUAUCCAGUUGCCACCAACUGUUUGAUGAAAUUCCCUUGAGAGAUGACACUUCUUAUUGUUUAAAGUGGUUGCCCUCGAGCUUCUGAAUUCUGACUUGCGCUAAUAUAUUGACAUUCAUUCUAAUAUUUUGGUUCUUGUUAUAACUUAACUUUCUUCUCCUCAGUUUAUUCAGUCUUAGUAUUAUUUUUAA